rnacentral:rRNA from 1 species
UUGACGGGGCCCGCACAAGCGGUGGAGUAUGUGGUUUAAUUCGACGCAACGCGCAGAACCUUACCUAGACUUGACAUCCCGGGAUUUUCUGGAAACAGAGAAGUGCUUUAGCAAUAAAGAACCCGGUGACAGGUGCUGCAUGGCUGUCGUCAGCUCGUGUCGUGAGAUGUCCGGUUAAGUCCGGUAACGAGCGCAACCCUCGCUGUAUGUUAUACGUGUCAUACGGGACUGCCGGUAUCAAGCCGGAGGAAGGUGGGAUGACGUCAAGUCAGCAUGGCCUUUAUGUCUGGGGCUACACACACGCUACAAUGGCCAGUACAAUAGGUUGCAAGACCGCGAGGUGGAGCCAAUCCUAAAAGCUGGUCUCAGUUCGGAUUGCAGGCUGCAACUCGCCUGCAUGAAGUCGGAGUUGCUAGUAACCGCGCGUCAGCUAUAGUGCGGUGAAUACGUUCCCGGGCCUU